CAGCCGCCACGGUAAUACAGAGGGUGCGAGCGUUAAUCGGAUUUACUGGGCGUAAAGCGUGCGUAGGCGGCUUCUUAAGUCGGAUGUGAAAUCCCUGAGCUUAACUUAGGAAUUGCAUUCGAUACUGGGAAGCUAGAGUAUGGGAGAGGAUGGUAGAAUUCCAGGUGUAGCGGUGAAAUGCGUAGAGAUCUGGAGGAAUACCGAUGGCGAAGGCAGCCAUCUGGCCUAAUACUGACGCUGAGGUACGAAAGCAUGGGGAGCAAACAGGAUUAGAGACCCCCGUAGUCCCUGUCUCUUAUAU
rnacentral:rRNA from 1 species